rnacentral:rRNA from 1 species
GUGUCAGCAGCCGCGGUAAUACGUAGGGUGCAAGCGUUGUCCGGAAUUAUUGGGCGUAAAGAGCUCGUAGGUGGUCUGUUGCGUCGGCUGUGAAACCCCGAGGCUCAACCUCGGGCCUGCAGCCGAUACGGGCAGACUAGAGUUCGGCAGGGGAGACUGGAAUUCCUGGUGUAGCGGUGAAAUGCGCAGAUAUCAGGAGGAACACCGGUGGCGAAGGCGGGUCUCUGGGCCGAUACUGACACUGAGGAGCGAAAGCGUGGGGAGCGAACAGGAUUAGAAACCCCGGUAGUCC